GAGUCGCUUACACCAGUAUGGAGCUGAAGGCGGGGCAGGCGAAAGCGUGGUGGUGCCCUGGGAAUUGGGGUGCCAGAUAGGUGUAGAAGAUCUCCUGGGAGACCGAGGAGCCAAGGCAGCGCUCCACAGGAGGAGGAGAAUUACCAUGAGGAAAGCCAGUCAGAAGACAAAACCUGAUGGAAGUUUUGGAGGAAGACAGAACUAAGAAAACAUUACACAAAAAUUGAACUAGAGAGUCCAUUCUGUGGGGCUCGGGAUGUGGCUCAAGUGGUAGCAUGCUCGCCUGGCAUGCGUGAGGCACUGGGUUCCAUCCUCAGCACCACAUAAAAAUAAAAUAAAGAUAUUGUGUCCAUCUAAAAAUAAAAAAGAGUCCAUUCUGAA